GCACCCCAAACUCCCCAGGAACCCCCUCAGGGUUGGGAACUGGGUGAUGCCCCCUCCAGGACAACAAUGCCAGGCAAGGGCAGCACCCCAAACCCUCCUUUAGAGCUGGGGGGGACCUCCCAAACCCUACCCAGCCCCACAGGGACCCCCUUGGAUUGCUGUCCCUGAGGGUCUGUGCACCCCAAACACCCCAGGGACCCCUCUGGAUUGCUGUCCUUGAAGGUCUGAGUACCCCAAACCCUACAGGGACCCUUCUGGGUUGGUUUCCUCAGGAUCCUGAGCACCCCAAACCCCCCAGGAUUGAUGUCCCUGAGGGUCUGUGCACCCCAAACCCCACUGGGGUGAUGUCCUUGAAGGUCUGAGCGCCCCAAAACCACCAGGACUGAUGUCCCCAGGGUCCUG
rnacentral:lncRNA from 1 species